CUUCCCUUUUUUUUUCUUCAUUUCUCUCUCUCAUAAAGCUCUCCACAGCUUCACGCAAUGACGCUAUUCUUCAAAUUUAAUCCUCUUCAUCCUCCUCCUUUGCUUCUCACAUCUUCCCGCUUGAUCCUCGUUUCUUUACCAGAUCGCUACAGUUUUCCAGCACCGGCGGAUCCACUCCGUUUAAGCUAAUACAAAGUUAAGUUGGAGAAGAAGAUAAGGGGAAGAAGAAAAGGGGAAGAAGAAGACAGAAACGACGUCGUUUUAGCCAAAAGAAGUUCUUUCUUUUGUUUCUCAAAACGAGAUCGUUUCUUAUGUGGCCUCCACGUAAGCGCCGUUAGCGGUUUCUUAACACCGUUACGGCUUGUGUAUGUUUUAACACCGUUUUACGGGUUAGGGUAGUGAUUUUGAAUUUUAUUGAACUUAAUGUAUGAAUUUGCUCAGUGUUAAAGUUGGGGUAGGAAUUCAACAUACCCCCUUAGCUGGGGUAUGAAAUUACCGAUUUUCCUGCAAUAAACAUGUACAGUUUGGUUUAGUAUGGUUCGGUUUUCUUCAGUUUAUGGUUUAUUGGAUAUGUAAAAACUUAAUUAACAUAAACUUAUUUGUAACUUUAUUUGGUUUCU